UGCAAGUCGAACGAAUGGAUGUCUAGCUUGCUAGACUGAAGUUAGUGGCGAACGGGUGAGUAAUACAUAGGCAAUCUGCCCUGAAGUGUGGGAUAGCUAUUGGAAACGAUAAUUAAUACCGCAUAGGUAGUAAGAAGGCAUCUUCCUACUAUUAAAGAUGCGUCUGCAUCGCUGCAGGAUGAGCUUAUGGUGUAUUAGCUAGUUGGUGAGAUAAAAGCCCACCAAGGCUAUGAUACAUAGCUGGUCUGAGAGGAUGAACAGCCACAUUGGGACUGAGACACGGCCCAGACUCCUACGGGAGGCAGCAGUAAGGAAUUUUCGGCAAUGGGGGCAACCCUGACCGAGCAACGCCGCGUGAGUGAUGAAGGUCUUCGGAUCGUAAAACUCUGUUGUAAAGGAAGAAUGUCAUAUAUAGGAAAUGAUAUAUGAGUGACGGUACUUUACUAGAAAGUCACGGCUUACUACGUG
rnacentral:rRNA from 1 species